AUAUAUAUAUGUAUGUAUGUAUGUAUAUGUUAAUAUUUUAUUGAAACCAUUGAUGCCCCUCUUUGCAGAACUCAAACUAACUGGAGUUAAGGACACACAAGUCUGCUUGUGUGAGGAGGUGGUUUUCUCAGCUUCUUCUGAAGAGAGGGAAAUAUCGUUUAAGAAAUCAAACCAACUUUGGAGUUGUCUGAUUUGGAGAGUCAUUAUUCUUGGUCUGCGCUCUUAGAGGCCACUGAUGAAGAACAGGCGGUGACUGGGAUGAAUGCUGGUCAGAGAGGAGAAUCUUCUUUCCCCUAAACAGCAGUGGUUUUAAAGGAGGACGCUGCCCUGGAUGAUGUAGAAGAUGUCACAUGUGCUGAUGGGGUUUCUUCAUGAUUACAUCAGUUAUGCUAAAGAGAUCAUGAAAAUUGACCGUGAUGCAUGAUCUGUAUUCAUGGACAAUGAAACAAACUGUAAGUGUAUAAUUUGUUAAAAAAAAAAAAGUUAAAUGCUUUUUCUGUGUUGUUUAGUAGAAAAGUUUACACUCUGUCAUUCAUACACCUGCUCACAUUCUUUCACACACACACCCCCACACACACACACACACACAUGCGUCUGUUAAAGGUUAUAAUAUCAAAGUUAAUGUUGUGAUUGUAAAUUUAUUGUAUGUGUUUUCGUAUAUUUUUAUACAAUAUAUACAAUUGAACAAAGUCCAAUUUGAUCUUAAGUUAUAUUCAUCAAAUGUUCAAUGCUUUAUGAACUCUGUUGCUGUUAAUGCCAUCCUUUUCUGCAUUUCUUCUAACAUGUUACUUUUUGACUUUUCUCUUGUUUUUAAUAAAUAUUUUCCUUUUGGUAAUUAUUAUUUGUGUGUAAAAGUGAUAUUUAAAAUGAACAACAUUUGUAGGUUUAAUGCCUAGCUCAAUUUGGGUUAAUUUUAACGUAGAAAUGCAUUGUUUCCCCACAUGGCUGCACUCUGUGGGUUUAUUUUCUGCCAGCAGGAGGCGCUAGGAGCGGGAGAGGUAGGUUUCUCCG
rnacentral:lncRNA from 1 species